rnacentral:lncRNA from 1 species
AAAAGUAGUAGUAACCACACCACGUAUUGCAUAGGGGUGUUGUGAGGGUUAAAUUAGGUAACGUGUGUGAUAUUUGUAGAUCAGCACCUAACACUUCGUAAGCCCUCAAUUAAACAUUAAUCAUUAUCUGAGUGUUGCUACAAUUUUGUAAUUUCAAGGUACUGUGGGUCUCAGAUCUGCCCACGAGAGGGCACUGGUGACACAGCUUUGCCUCAAAAGGUUUCCAGUUGAAAGACCAGGCAGCUUUGCUUGUGUCUAAGGAACUAAGGGUCCGAUUUCUCAUGAGCUGCUGAACCACAGAUUUUAGAGCUGAAAGACACCCUGCAAGUGAUCUAAUCCAGUCAUCAGAUGUUGCAGUUAUAAGCCAUAGGCGGGUAAAUGUGGACCUGGGAAAAUGCAGACCAACACCUUGCUGGAGUGCAAAGAGCCCCUAGCCAAUUCCUAGGCCUUUGAGAAAACCUGGAAAAAUUAACACUUGAAAUAAAUUUUGAAGAACAAGGAAAAGUUAUUGACCUAAAGGCUGACAGGGAGGAAUUCUGGAAGGAAGGAACAGCUCACUUGCUUGGAGCAAGAAGGAGAACAGACAUAAAACAUAACUGGAAGCUGUGAUGCUCCAAAAAUAUCACAGGAUCGGAUGACACGAAAACCU